GAUGAACGCUGGCGGCGUGCCUAAUACAUGCAAGUCGAGCGAACAGACGAGGAGCUUGCUCCUCUGACGUUAGCGGCGGACGGGUGGGUAACACGUGGAUAACCUACCUAUAAGACUGGGAUAACUUCGGGAAACCGGAGCUAAUACCGGAUAACAUGUUGAACCGCAUGGUUCAACAGUGAAAGACGGUCUUGCUGUCACUUAUAGAUGGAUCCGCGCCGCAUUAGCUAGUUGGUAAGGUAACGGCUUACCAAGGCAACGAUGCGUAGCCGACCUGAGAGAGUGAUCGGCCACACUGGAACUGAGACACGGUCCAGACUCCUACGGGAGGCAGCAGUAGGGAAUCUUCCGCAAUGGGCGAAAGCCUGACGGAGCAACGCCGCGUGAGUGAAGAAGGUCUUCGGAUCGUAAAACUCUGUUAUUAGGGAAGAACAAAUGUGUAAGUAACUAUGCACGUCUUGACGGUACCUAAUCAGAAAGCCACGGCUAACUACGUG
rnacentral:rRNA from 1 species